GAWGKGUGCAWGCGUUACUCGGAAUUACUGGGCGUAAAGCGUGCGUAGGUGGUUCGUUAAGUYUGAUGUGAAAGCCCUGGGCUCAACCUGGGAAUGKCAUUGGAUACUGGCGAUCUAGAGUGCGGUAGAGGGCAGUGGAAUUCCCGGUGUAGCAGUGAAAUGCGUAGAGAUCGGGAGGAACAUCUGUGGCGAAGGCGACUGCCUGGACCAGCACUGACACUGAGGCACGAAAGCGUGGGGAGCAAACAGGAUUAGAUACCCUGGUAGUCCACGCCGUAAACGAUGAGUGCUAGAUGCUGCGGGUAUUGACCCCCGCGGUGUCGCAGCCAACGCGUUAAGCACUCCGCCUGGGGAGUACGGCCGCAAGGCUR
rnacentral:rRNA from 1 species